GAUGAACGCUGGCGGCGUGCCUAAUACAUGCAAGUCGAGCGAACAGACGAGGCUCUUGCUCCUCUCACGUUAGCGGCGCGCGGGUGAGUCACACGUGUAUAACCUCCCUAUCAGACUGGUAUAACUUCGGGACACCGGCUCUAAUACCGGAUGAUCUAUUGAUCCGCAUGGUUCGAUAGUGAGAGACGGUGUUUCUGUCACUUAUAGAUGGAUCCCCGCCGCAUUAGCUAGUUGUUAAGUUCACGGCUUACCAAGGCAACCAUGCGUAGCCGACCUGAGAGGGGGGUAGGCCACACGGGAACGGAGACACGGACCAGACGCCUAAGGGAGGGAGCAGUAGGGAAUGUGCCGCAAUGGGCGAAAGCAUGACGGAGCAACGCCGCGUGAGUUAUGAAGGUGUUCGGAUCGGAAAACUGUGUUACUAGGGAAGAACAAAUGUGUAAGGAACUAUGCAGGGAUUGACGGUACCGAGUCAGAAAGCAACGGCUAACUACGUG
rnacentral:rRNA from 1 species